rnacentral:lncRNA from 1 species
UUGUCAGGCCGCCUUUCGGCCUUUUUAGUUUCACCCCCUGCCCUUUAUUUGUAUCUUCAGGAGCGCGAUCUCUUUCCCAUCAGGGAGACGCGGCAGCACGGCUCGCACGACCGGACCGCCGUUGAGGACCGCCGUGUUCUUUUCCGGAACUCCUUGAGCUCUGCCUAAGGAUGAAGGAAGAAUUAGGGGAGCCCCGGGGCGCCUCACCCCAGUCAGGCGCUGCCGGAGCUCGUAUUCCCGGUCUAGGAAGGGCUCGCGGGCGAUACGGUGAAGUUUGGGAUUUGACCGGGAAGACGCAAGGCAGUAAGUAUCUUCUAUUGGGGCACCACAUCCAAAGGGCUUCUAAACAGAUCCCAGGGCGUGGAGUCAACCACCUCCCUGGGGAGCCUAUUCCAGCGUUGAACUAUGAACUAUCCUUUGCGUAAAGUAGCGGUUUUUGUCUUCCAGGAUAAAGGUACCUCGUGGCAAGCGGAGGUCUUUCUCUGUCAUCUCUUCACCAGUGAGAAGAGACUAGUCAGUAGCCCUGCCCUCACGGUAAGCACCUCAGAGAUAGCAGAAGAGAGCAAUAAAGUAUCCCCUUAGCGUCUUUUUCCCUGGAUCGUAAUGAGCUAAGCCCAGGCGUGCCGAGGAAGCCGGCAGAAGCGAGUAUGGAAGAGCUUCGCGUCCCGUCGUUUUCGGUCUUUGUUCCAGGCCAGGCGGGCGAGGACGGAAGGACAGCGCGAGUGAGAGCAGCCUUGAGGGAGGGCGAGAAGGACAGGCGGCGUGACAGCGGCCGGCUGAGCGCUGCAGCGGAGCAUUCGGCAGCGAGGACGAGCGAGCCCCGCGGCCCGGCUGUGGCAGCAUCCCCUCAGCAGCAGUUUGAGGAGCAGAGUCGGCACGGUCUGGAUGCGUCUGCGUGGAGUCAGGAAUGA